AGCUGGACACAUUUUGUCGAAUUUGGAGGAUGUUUACGCUCGUACAGCGUCUAUGACGGGAGUAUCGGACAGUACCGUCUGGCAUAUUGCAAAAGAGGGCUCUAUAAUGGAAUAUUUCUAACUCCUGGAAGAAACAGAACAGGCCGUCUAAAAAGAGAAAUUGAUGAUUUUACUAUGUGUGCCCUUCGUCAACAAAUCCGGAUAUUUUAUAGAGUUGUAAUAAUGUUAUCUAAAUAAAUAUUUAUUGGUUUCAC